rnacentral:lncRNA from 1 species
AAAGAAAUCUUUCAUCUCAUACUUGAUACUAUCACAAUAUAUGCAUUUCUUAACAAAUCUCUUUGAUCCUUCUAAUGCAUGCAAAGAAAUAAUUCUUUGGCUCUUCUUCAAUCUACUCAUCUCCACUCUUAAUUCUUUCAUGUAUUAAAUCAAUUCUUGAAGGAUUUCUUUGAAAAGAAUCUUACACGUCUCUUGAAUUGGAGUAGAUGUCACCAAACUUGAUAGAGUGAUUGACAUCAUAGGUGACAGCGCUUCAUACUUUAAAGUCUUUUUUUUAUCUUUAUUUUCUAUUU